CCAGGUGGGCGGGGCCUGGCCGGGCGGCGGCGGCGGCGGCGGCGGAGGGAAAAUGGCGGCCUCGGCGGCGGCGCUCAGUUGCCGUGGGAACGAGACAUGAGCUCUGGCAGCCUUCACUCCAAGCCUUGCGCGGCCACAUCCAGAGCAGCAUGGAGCACUCCAGCCGGCCUCCUGUGGCCGGCCCCUCCUCCUCCGCCGUCC